rnacentral:rRNA from 1 species
UACGUAGGAUGCAAGCGUUAAUCGGAAUUACUGGGCGUAAAGCGUGCGCAGGCGGUUGUGUAAGACAGGUGUGAAAAUCCCCGGGCUUAACCUGGGAACGUGCACUUGUGACUGCACGGCUGGAGUGCGGCAGAGGGGAAGUGGAAUUCCGCGUGUAGCAGUGAAAUGCGUAGAUAUGCGGAGGAACACCGAUGGCGAAGGCAAUCCCCUGGG